CGAAAGCCUGACGGAGCAAGACCGCGUGAGGGAGGAAGGCUCUUGGGUUGUAAACCUCUUUUCUCAGGGAAGAAGCUCUGACGGUACCUGAGGAAUAAGCCUCGGCUAACUCCGUGCCAGCAGCCGCGGUAAUACGGAGGAGGCAAGCGUUAUCCGGAAUUAUUGGGCGUAAAGCGUCCGCAGGUGGCGAUUCAAGUCUGCUGUCAAAGCACGGGGCUUAACUCCGUUAAGGCAGUGGAAACUGAAUGGCUAGAGUGCCGUAGGGGUAGAGGGAAUUCCCGGUGUAGCGGUGAAAUGCGUAGAGAUCGGGAAGAACAUCGGUGGCGAAAGCGCUCUACUGGACGGCAACUGACACUCRGGGACGAAAGCUAGGGGAGCG
rnacentral:rRNA from 1 species